rnacentral:lncRNA from 1 species
UGGUCGUCGACGGUGGUGACGAGGAAGAAGCUCCCCAGGGUGACCUGCCUGCUUGCCUUCCUGUACUCUACUAUGGCCUUGUAAACCAGAGGUAUCAGCCCUUCCAUUCUUGCAACAACACAAAGAUUAAUUAACCACCUAAUAACAUAUAAAUCUCUCCCUUAAUUGAUUAGCAACACUGACACUGUCACACUGACACUGCAAGAGUGAUUGAGCAAGCAAGCAAGCUUGAGCUAGCUAGAGCAGCAAGUGAGCCUGAAGGAUGCUAAUAAAAAGGGAGCAGUUUUAGCUGAAGAAAACGAAGGGGGCGCAUU